rnacentral:lncRNA from 1 species
AUUUCCCCAUCUUGCAGCUUUUGGAGCAGCCCUAAGCGUCGUGUUUGGGUUUGAGAUUAUAUGGAUUUGAGCUGGGCCUGGAAAUAGCAUCUGGCAAUUUGAAAGGAAAUUCCAGAUAUGGAUUUGAGCUGUCUCAACCCAUGAGGGUUCGGUUGGUAGAAAAUGUUAAUAACUGCCUACUCAGGAGGGUCGGUUGCUCAAUUUUCAUUUGCCUUUCUUAUCGCCUACUGACAAAAUUGUUAAAGACCAAUGGGAGCCAUGAUUAACAGCAUUAGCCCCGUCUUUCCUCUGCAAUGUACAAUUGAGUAAUGAAAUUCCUCCACAACUGUUCAACCAUUAGAUUCAAUCAUUCAACAUAUAAUUAGGUUUUAGCAAGCAAUUCAUAUGUUGCAGAAUAUUUACAGUAACAUUUUAUCUAUUAGGAGCCACUUGGUAUAGAACCCAAGCUAGAUGUAUUAAAGCCCACACUUAUUCCAUGAGUAAUGAGAUACCACUCAAUUUGUUUCCCUUCCCCUUUCUCAUGCAGCUCUCCUCGUUAACUGAUCCUUGGAUGUGCUCUCAAAGAUCUUGUCUGCAUUUCCUACCUCAAAACCAUCUCGCCGAUGAUACUCCUUAACCUGUGUAAGUUGGUAAUUCAAGUGAUCAGUAAAAGCCUAUUAAAUCAAGAUAAGAUCAUACACAUGCUUCCACAACUGAAAGCAGGAACAUGAAAUGGAAAGAGAGAGUCUGAUUUUCUGGACACCUAUCAACCUAUACAAUCAGAAUACACUUAAAUAACAUGAAAACAAAUACAUAAACGCCGCAUGAAGGGGAAUGAGCAGAAAACUUAGAUGGGAACAUUCACCAAUACAUAUCAUCAUCCAUGACUUUUGUAUCAGAAUGUGGUGAGCAUGCAUAAGAAUGAUGUAAAGCAAUCACAAGAUAAAUGAGCAUCAUGUAGUCAAUCAGUUGGAUUGAUUUAUUCAGGUGGCUACAAACAACGUUGAUUUUAAACCAUUACUUUUUACCAUUCUGUACCAGAAAAUCAAAUUUGUGUUAAGAAGUAAAAACAGACUUUCUUGUUUAAAAAUAAGGGUCGUUACCUCCUUGUCUGGUAGGUUUUUAUAUUGAGGCAGCACAAGGCGUUCUGCAAAUUCUAUGUACGAACAGGGGACUGAUUCAGUGACACCAUCAGAAAAUUGGAAGGAGACUGAAUCUGCCACAGUUGAACUUUGCAGCAGAAGACCAUCAGGGCUCACUGUUAAUAGAGGAAAUGAAGUUAUAAAUUGUCUACCCAUGCUUGAAAGAAUAACCAAUAGAAACAAACACAUUUUGUAGCAUCUACAAUGGCAAUUAUUAUCAGUGAACAUAAAUACGAAGUACUGCAUGCAACAAAUGGCAGAAAGAAAAUGCAUACAUGAAAAUCUUUAUGAUUCAUUUGACCAGGAUAGGAUGUGUUAGAAGAUGCAUUUGAAGCAUCACAACGGUUAAGCCAUUCCUCAAAUUAACCAUGGGCCUAAGCAUACACAUUUGGUCCACUCCAUGCUGCAUUUUAGGAUACUGCAUGAAUGAGGUGCCUUAUUAGGGGGUCUAAAAGGUCCGAAAUCUCAGUGACCACCUGGAGAUCUCCAUUCUUGUCUUCUCCACUCAUCUAGAUUGCAGUAACAAUUCUGUUCUACAGCGCCAGUUUGCAUUAAUUAAAUUGUAAACUGACUCCAAGUUACCGUGCUAUUUUCUCAAAUAAAGUAACGAAUCUCUCUUCCUAGAAAAGCAGAUAAAACAACAUGAGGCACACAUUAUUCUCAUUAGGAAAUCAAUUUCACUGUUCCAUUAGCAUGAACAAAAAUUUAUUUUGAAGGGCCACUAAUAUAUUCCAUGAUUUCCACUCAUUCCUUGCCAAUUGAAUCUUUCAAUGGUUCAACUGAUGUGAUUGGAUAUCAAAUUCUAAUCACAUAUCUCAAUUAGCAGUUAGAUAUUUAGCAUUUUCUAGCAUUUCAGUGAAAAAAUGUAUAUGCCUGGAGAGUAAAAAUAAGGGAAAACACAUGAAAACUCAAUCCAACCUAGGACAUAUUUGUAUGAACAUAUAAUCUGUAUGAAAACAUUUUAAACCAAACCUCUUCAUUUCCCACUCGACCAAGUAUAUAUGUUCCUGUUUGAAUCUUAUCUAGGAUUCUGGGAAGCAAAUUUAGGAAUUAAAAAGAAAAGUACAAAAUUAGGUAACAAACCCUUUAGAACCCCCCCUUCAGAAUUCAACUUGAAGCCAUUCUCCUCAAUGAACUGAUUGAGCAUUUCAAUAUUUCUCAAGUGAGAUUUCAGCUGAUGAGUGGAAAUGGUAACAUGAUUGACUGCAUACCCAUUUACAAGGGUCCAGGCAGCAUAUUCACUUUCCCUGGGUAUUCAUAAACUAAAUAGUAAGAUCUUGGAAUAGAGGUCCCACAUAAGUCCAACAACAAUAACCAAGUUGAUUACUUUCAAAUUAAAAUAGCCUAAACCAAUUAGAUAACAAUUGGAUACCUGACGAUACAGCGUGAUUUAGAUUAUAAUAGAUACCUUUGUCAUGUGUAAAAUAAAGGAAGUUAAAUGACAGGAGGUUAAGCAUGUGGAUAUUCAUCCCUGAUUAGCAACUAGGACAGACAUGAAAGUUUUCUGGAAAAGGGUAAGAGUCUUCUUGGACAACAGUUUACGACAUUCUUUUGGUGUUCAGGUGGUUGUAAAACUUUUUUUGUACAUCCAAUUGAAUUAUCUCAUGAUCAAAUGUCUUUUCUUUCAGCCAAAAAGAAAAAGAAGAGUACCUUGCCAAUUGUUGAAAUUCAGAAUACAAGGGCUUUUCCCAUGUUAAAAAUCCCUGGGCACUUGCUAGAGCUGCAUGUUUAUUUCCACUACCAGAUAUUUCAGUGUAUUUUCUAAUUAUCUCCUGUAAAUAAAAGCAACAGUUUCAAGCACAAAGUAUUCAUCCUGACAAAACAAUUAUCACCAAAGUAUCCAAAAUUUUCCAAUUAUCACCAAAGUAAUCCAAAAAAAGAUAUAAGACAAAGCAUAGGCUAGAUGAAAAUUUAUAAGAGAUGGGCCGAAUAGGUCUUUCUUUGCUUAUAUUUGCACAAGCUAAACCAUAAAAACAGUUAAUAACCAUUUGUAUCUGUAAGAGACAGCAAGAGAGUUUCUCUUGCAUGGAUCAUUUUUUUUUUCAAACUAAAAAUCAUUUACAGCUAGAAGAAAAAAAUGUGAAAAAAAAAAAAGCCUACAUUAUGGUUCACGACUACCCAUCAACAAAGAAAUAAAUUUGGAAACAAGAUUAUCAUGAGUUUCACUUGCAUUUGGAUCUGCUUUUUCCAUGUAAAAAUGCAAGAAAAACUAAUAAAAAAGGUAAAGCCACAUUAUGGUAAACAACACUUCAUCAAAAAAAUAAAUUUGGAAAAGUUAUUGUACCAUAUAUGUUGAAUUAAACAUUUUCAAACAUCUAUUGAUCUGUGAACAGACCUGCCAUUCAGCAAAUGAAAGCCUAGCUUAUUCAACUAAUUGAUUGUUCCACAAGAUCAUUUUAAUGGUUCUUUGGAUAGAAAAGCACAUCACAUGGUAUUCAACACCUCAGAUGCAUUUGGCUGGGGAAAACCAUUGUCAUAAAUAUUCUCAUAACCAUCACCACAGACUGUUAUAAAUAAUACCACCCUACUACCCAAUCCCAAACCAUAGGUGAACACUAUCAAGAUACAAUAAAAUGAAAAGAAAGAAUUCAAAUAGAGUAGAAUGAGUUCAGCUUCCUUUAUUUCAAUUUUAGGACCGACUGGGUUUACUCACCAACAUAACUAUGCAAGAAUUCAAUUUCUAUGAAACCAGAUAUAUAUAAGACUUGUCAUGACACUGAAAUAGAACAACAAAAUUGAUGGAUUUGUUCAACACAGAAUUUUUAUUCCCACAAAAAUUCAUGAGGAGAAGAAAAAAAAAAAAGAAAGCAGAGUAUGCAUUAGGAUCAUUAUACUCAAAACAGAGGCACAAAACUGCAAACUAUCAUCUCACCAUGAUUAAUUCCAAGGACAAACCUGAGCUGGCGGACUCAUCUGAUCUACAAGAAGCUCCGAGAUGAAUAUUCUUGGCAAAGGCCCAUGAACACCAGUGCCAGUGUCCGUAUGGGAAAUUCUGGGAGGAGAGAACCACAGGGCCCUCAAUUUUUUUGCAGGAAAUCUCAACUCCUCCCGGGGUUUAUAACCAAAAUCCAAGAAAAAUUGGGCCAUAGAGUCGAUCCCAUAACCAUUUACCUGUUAUAUUUCAAAUCAAAUAAAACUUUGUACCUCAAUACACAUGCAAAUCAAGAUUACAAAUAUGAAUCACACCAAAGUAAAAACUAAAAAGAAAGGCAGAGUAUACCCCAAAUGUCCUAAAUGCAAGAUGAUCAUAGCAAAUUCGAUCAUUAUCAACCGAUCUAACGAGCUCCAAAACAGAUUUUGCAGUGGGGUUCCUAUUUAAAUAAACUGUUUCCAUACUCCCCAACACAUUCCUAAAAAACGAUUCAGCUCCCUGCAACAGAGAUGGAAGAACGAUGAUUUAAACUCUUAACACCAAUAGAAACAAAUUACAGAUUAAUGCCAUAGUAGCCCCUAAGCAAUCAGAAAAUCCAGUGAAAUUUUAUUGAAUCAGUUAUGUUGCUACAAUAGUAACGUCCAGCAUAAUUUUGUAGUUUCAGGAACUUGCGUUUGGUUGCAUGGGAUAAGAAUCGAAAAGGAAUUAUUAUAGUUGGAUGCCCAUGUCCUAAUUGGUGGUCGAUUCUGGAAAAUUAAAAUGCAAUGAAGAUUGAAUGGAUCGAACGGGUUUACAGUCUAGAGAGUUAUAAGCAAUUAAGCAUCCCUGAUUGGGAUCAAAUAUUAAUUUCCUAAAUAAAAGAAAAUUUUAAAUUGAAAACCCAGAGAUAUUCCGGGAACCUGAAAAGGAGGAACGGGGGGCUCAGGCUCCAUGUGAGACCGAGUAGCUGUGCACAGACUUCGGUUAAGGAGGGAAACCGAAUUCCCGGGAGAGGACAGAUGAGGGAAACUGGUGGGGAGAGGGGAGGGGAAAGAGGUGAGAGAGCGGAGGGAGAGGAAAGUUGAGGAGCGAGGGGUGGUUCUGAUGGUGGAGUAGAGGGGAAAGAUGGAGGAAAAGGAUGUUACAGCCGCGGCCUCCAUUUUCUUUCCGGAAAUGUGACGACAAAUUAAGAGCGAAGCAGCCUUGUCCCGUAUUUUACCAUGGGACUUCAGGCCACAGGUGGGGCCAAGUGCCAAGCCCUCCAUUCCCAUAUCAAGUAGGACUCCGUCCAAUUAAGCCAUCCCGUACAGUGUGUAUGUCCAUUAUCAAGCCUUACGAAGGAUUCAAGGGCCUACACUGGCGGAGCGGCUGCCUCGGUCAAUUAUGACAAAACAUUUGGUUCCUCUGCCAUUACCCAUUUGUGGUAUAGAGCAAUCAAAUUAUGCCCGAUGCCAUGCGUUCACUUUAUGCCUCGUUACUUGUUACCCAAAUGCCAUUCGUUUACUUAUAAGAUGUGCUUAUUCUUCUAUAUCCUAAUUUUAUUUAUUUGUAUCUUAAUCCCAUGUACCUAUAACUUCAUUCAAUGACUUAAAUUUUGUCUUAUAUUUAGUAAAAGUUAAGUAAAAUUCUUUUUUAGAUAAGCCUAUAGGUUGCUGUUGUUUUUUUUUUUUUUUUUCAAAUUUUUUUAAAGGAGAAAUUCUUUUUUCUAAAGUCAAAGUAAAUUAUUUUUUUUCGAUAAGCUUGUAAAUUUUUUAUUUUUUAUUUUUUAAGGGGAAAAAUCAUUUAAAAAUAAAAUAAAAUAGUAAAAGAAAAAAGUUAUUUUAAAUAAAAUUAAAGCAAUUUUUUUAGAUAAAAUGGUGAAAAUAUUUUUUUUUAUAAAUAAAAGCAAUAUUUUAUUUCUUUUUUGAAAUGAAAAUUAUAAAAAUUCCUUUUCUACAAAAAUAAUAAAAUUGGAAUAAAAGAAUAAAAUCAUAAUUUUUUGUUAACAAAGUUAGAUAAAAAUAUUUUCUAAUGUUUUUUAAAAAAAAUAAAUUUGAGACCCAUAAAAAAUGACAAUGAAUUUGAAAUCUCCUUUCAUAGAAUCAAGAUAAUUUUUAAAAUUCUUUUAACAAAAUUUGAAAAAACCUUUCCUUAAUUCAAACAAAAAUAAAAUCCUUUUUGUAUAUGAAAUCAAAUAAUAAAUCAUUUUUUAUAAAUAAAAAAGUGAUUGAAGUAUCUUUUGUUAAAAAGGUCUUUUUUUUUAAUUAAAAAUCAUUUUUAGUACUAAAAUUGAAUUGAUUUUAAUAGUUUUAUAAAUAAAAUUGUAAAAGUUUAUUCUUUUUCUAUAUAAGGUAAAUAAAAAUCAUUCUCGAUCAAAUUUUUUUUUAAAUAAAAUUGAUUUUAAUAAAUUCUUUUAACUUUCUUAAAUAAUAUUGAAUCAAAUCACUUGAUAAAUUGGAAUUUUUUUAAAAAAAAUAAAGAAGUUGAAAUAAUUAAUUUGAAAUCCUAUUUAAUGUGAAUAAACCCCUUGAAAUUUCUUAAAAAUAUGUUUAAUAUUUGAAAUAAUUAAAAUUUUCUUCCAAUUAAUUUAAUAAUUCAAUUUGCAUAUUCUUUUGUUAUUUAUUUCAUAUAUUCUUGCAAUAUGAUUUUCAUCUUGAAUUAUAUAUAUAUAUAAUUAAUUAAUUAAUUAUCAUAAUUCUUUCUUAUUAGUUUAGUAUAAACAUUUUUGGAGUUUAAAAUGGUGCUACCAUAUAAUACCUUUCUAAUAAGUAACGUGACACCCUCUAAACUUGAUUUUUGUAAACAUGUGUUGUUUUUUCAAAAAUAAGAAGUCACGUAUUAGAGUUUUAUUUCUUAUUUUAUAAUCAUUUUUAAAAUAAAUAAAAAUAAGUGACAAUUCACUUUUAAAAAAAAUCAAACUUUGGAAAAAAAAAAAAAGUAUUGCCUUUGAGUACGGAUACACAUAGAAACGACAGGUCCACAAUUUUCCUUUAAUUUUUUUGAAAUAAAAUAUAAAUAUACAUUUCUUUGACAAUGCUUUUCUAGAACCAAACAUAAUAUACUUUAUUUUAGUGCAAAAUUUUCACAUUAUAAAUAUCAUCCUAGUACCAUAGUUCUAAACUCCAAUUUCAUCUUAUUAGUUUUUGCAUUCUUCGAAAAAACAUUACUAAAUUUUUUGGAAAAUUCUUGGGUAUUACAAUGGUGUUGUUGAAUAUAUAAUCCAACAAAUUUUACUUGAAAAAAAAGAAUUUUUGCUUUACAAGUUUAUCUAAUUUUUUUUUUACUUGUCUUUAUUAAAAGUAUUAAAAGGGGAUUUAUUUCUGUUAUUUAUAUAUAUAUAUUUCAAUCAAAAUUUUAUAUAAAAAAAAAUACAAUUUUGUUGGAAAAAAAAUGCUUCAAUAAAAUUUUAAUUUUUUUUAGUAUCCUUAUAUAUAAAGGUUUGAAUUUUAUUGUUGAAAGAAUAAUUGAAAUUUAUACAUAAAAAGAAUGAUUUCAAUUUACACAAAUAAAUUAAAUCAAUUUUUGAUUUCUCAAUGAGAAAACAAGAUUUGAAUUUUAUUAAAAGCAUGAAUUUCAAUUUAAUUAAAAAAAGCUGAUUCCCAUUUAUUUAAAAGAAAGUAAUUUUUCACUUUUAAAAAAAAUAUCACAUUUAUUAAAAAAGAUAUUCUACUUUUAAGGAAAAGGUUUUCUAAUUUUGCAAAAAUAAAAUGACAUAUCUAUUGGAAAAGUGGUUUUUAUUUUAAAAACAAAAGUCUCAUUUAUUAUUUUAAAAAAUUAACUUAUUAAUAAGUGUGGACCCCACAUUUCGCUCCAUGCAUUCCCACUUGAUGGCGAAACUCGCUUUUUUAUUUCUUUGAUGAAAACUUGAUUUUUAGAAAAAGACUUGGAGUCACCACUUAUUUUUGUUUUAUUUUUUAAGGGAAAAACAAAAUAAGAAAGAAAAACUCUAAGUGUAACUCCUGAAGGAAAAACAAGUCUAUAAAAAAUAGAGUCUGAGUCUAGGGGUCAGGUUACCUAUUGGGAAGGUACGAUGGUGAGCCGUAGCACCCCUCUAAGCCCAUAUACAUAUAGUCUCUACUAAACAAAUUAAGAGAAUUAUGACAAUUAACUAAUUAAUUAUGGAUACCAAGAAAAAUAAUCAAGCAAAUGAGUAUGUACAAGUUAUAGUGAAAAUCAAUAUAUAAAAAAAAAUGAUGAAAUCUAAUUACAAAAAUACACAAAAUAAAUAAUAAGAGAAUUAUGCAAAAAUGAUUUCUUGAACUAAAAAAAAGGUAUUAAAAAAUGGUUUUCAAGAAAUUUCAAGGAUUUUAUAAAAAAAUGAUUUUGAAUUAAUGAUUUCAAUUUAUUUAUUUACAAAAAAAAAAAAGUUAACUUAUUUUCUCAAUUUCAAAAAAAAAAAUUAUUUACAUUUAUUGUAUCAAAAUAAUUUAUUACAAAAUUUCAAUUUGGGCACAAAAAUUAUUUUACUUGUUUUUACAAAAAUGAAUAAAUUUUUACAAUUUUAUUUACUUUUAUUUCAAUUUGUUUUCAUUAAAGAAAAGUGAUUUAUACAAAUUAUUUAAAAAGACAAAACUUCAUUUGCAAAAAGAAUUUUAAUUUUUAAAAAAAGAUUUAAAUCCUCUAUUUCUAAAAAAUAAUUUUAAUCCGAUUUUAAUUAAGGAAAAAGAAUUCAUUUAAAAAAAAUAUUUUUUGGACAAUUUUAUUAAAAAAUAAUUUUUGGGACAACUUUAUUUACAAAACAAUUUUUGGACAAUUUUAUUAAAAACAAAUUUUCAAAUUCUAUUAAAAACGCAACCAAUGAGAUGUGAUGAAAUGCAGUAGUGUGAUGGUAGGAAAAAAUAAUAAGAGAAAGAUGUGACUGUAGGUCCAAGACUCAUGAGACUCCCAAGCAAUGCAUGCAUACACUAAAGGGCCCCUAUCCUUGUGCAAAAAAGUGAGCAAGACAAUAAAAAAGAAAGACUAUAAUGCACAUGCGAUGUUCAAUGGGCUAGCAACGGUUUGUAUAUCAAAAGGGAAUAACAAGGUAUAUGGUUAACCGAAAUGAUGGUCACCCAUCCUACGACCAUGGUCUCAAACAUAAUACUUCUUCAGUUGAUCUACAUUAGUUGGCUCCAAGAAUCGGUUUCCAUCUAAAUCCAUCAACCAUGCAGCGCCCUCUAGAGUCAACUCCCUAAUGAAAUAAGGUUCGCUCCAAUUGGGUCUGAACUUCCCUCUAGGAUCUCUAAUCAAUCCUCUAAUGACCCUUAAGAUCAUCCCAAGCUAUUAAACUGUUAGAUACCCUCAAUUGCCUGAUACGCUGCUCAAUACAAUCCAUGCAUGCGUGAGUAUCCUCAAGGACCGUGGUCUAUACUAUUGUAGGUGGGGUAACCUCAAAAUGACCAUGUAAAAAAUAAGGUGGGGCUUGUGGCACUGUCGGACCAAGUGGUGGUGGUGGAGGUGGCAAUGAAUCAUAGGGUGUCUCAUCCUGAACUACGAGUCGUCUACUCUACUGACUAUCUAUCUCAUGUUUGAGAUUGGCUAAGGUCUCUUGAAUAGAAGUCAUGGCAGUCGUGAACUGGUCAACUAUGAUAAUCUAAUGAUCCAUGCCUGUCUGAUCAAUGAUGCAAAAUAGUUUAUCGUCAAUUUUGACUCAAUGUGGCAAACUCAAACUGAGACGAAGAUCAAAUCCUAUAAAGCAUGGGGAAACGAGAUAAGGCACGAUGCGAGAAAAGCAUAGAAGAAAUGCUAGACUAAACUAGAAGAAACAAGUCAACACAAUGCAGAAGAGUGCUCCAACUGAAACUCAAGCUCGCAAUGAUCUCUGAGCACUCUCUAUUGGACAUCAAAAAAUGGAGUAUUGGAUCCGAACUAUAACUAAAGAGGCUCUGAAGGCCCUCAGAUGUGCCCAUGUGUAGAAGAGGAAAUCUUGAUCGAAUGAUCUAAGGCUCAACCUACAAGGUCAAGGUGGCUCUAAAAAGAAUAGGGGUGGACUUUAAAGGAUCCCUAGCAGAAGCGAUCAUACCCUCCGGUGGUACACAACCUCUGCAUGCCUCCGAAGAGACGAGACAUUUCCAUGCAAGGUGGUCAUCACCUCUACACAUGCAUUACCUCGACAUCCCAGGGGGUUUUCUAUAGUGAAAGUUCUCUCAACACUCAAUAGUCAACUAAAGCGCACAGUGAACGGUGUGGGUGUAUUCGAAAAUCCUAUGAAGCUAAAGUAGAAAAAUAAACACACUAAUCACACAAAUAUCCAUGAAACCUAGCUUUGGGCUAUACAGGUCUUCAAAGAUCGGAUUCCGAUCAGCAUCAAUGUGUCAGCCUCCUCUAGAAUGCUCCCAAACAUCGAUAUAGCCCAUCGCUAAACCCUACUCCUAAUCACUAGCUCGGUCGAAGAACAAACAAAGUAACAAGUCUCAUAUCAAAUACGAAAUCAAGGGAAACAAAGUCAACCGAGACUAGGAAAUUAGAGGUAAGGGGAUAGAUGUGUGUCCCACACAGACAAGCAAUACAUGCAUCACAUAGAAUAAUAACAGUCAUGCACCAAGCAGUCAUGCAAAUGAUAGGUAUAUCACUCAUAUCUACACACAAGCUAGGCAAGCAUAUGAUAAGUAAGAUAAGUAUAUAACAAGAAUAAAAAAUAUGUUGAGAUAAACAAGAUAAAAUACAACAAAUAGAAUAAAUCAUGUCAAGAUGAAAGAGAUAUACAAAAAUGAGAAUAUAUAUGUCUAGGAAAGCAAGAUAAUCAUACAACAAGAAGAGUCACUAUGCUAAAGUAGGUAAGAGAAUCAAUCGAUGUAAUCAACAUGUCAACAUCUCUAAUGAACAAUAAUAACCAAACAUGCAUCACAGAUAAACAUAUCAAAGCUCUCAACGUGUAAUCAACACUCAAUCAUACAAAGACACGUAGAGAGGGGUAUCCACUGAUCAACCAAUCAAACGCCACAUUUCCCUCAACUUGAGUUCAAGUUUGACCCUUUAAUUUUUCCCCAAUGGAGUUGCCAUUUUGUGGACCCCGCAUUUCGCUCGAUGCAUUCCCACUCGAUAGCAAAACUCAUUUUUUUAUUUGUUUGGUGAAAAUUUGAUUUUUAUAAAAAGACUUGGAGUCGCCACUUAUUUUUGUUUUAUUUUUUAAGAGAAAAACAAAAUUAGAAAGAAAAAACCCUAAGUGUAACUCCUGAAAGGAAAAACAUGUCUAUGAAAAACCGAGUCUGAGUUCGGGGGUCAAGUUACUUAUUGGAAAUGUACGAUGGUGAGUUGUAGCACCCCGCUAAGCCCAUAUACAUACGGUCUCUACUAAACAAAUUAAGGGAAUUAUGGCAAUUAACUAAUUAAUUAUGGAUACCAAGAAAAAUAAUCAAGCAAAUGAGUAUAUAUAAGUCAUAGUGAAAAUCAAUAUAUACAAAAAUAAUGAUGAAAUCUAAUUACAAAAAUACACAAAAUAAAUAAUAAGAGAAUUAUGCAAAAAAUGAUUUAUUGAACUAAAAAAAUGUAUUAAAAAAUGGUUUUCAAGAAAUUUCAAGGAUUUUAUAAAAAAUGAUUUUGAAUUAAUGAUUUCACUUUAUUUAUUUAUAUAUAAAAAAUUCAACUUAUUUUCCCAAUUUCAAAAAAAAAAAAAUUUAUAUUUAUUGUAUCAAAAUAAUUUAUUACAAAAUUUCGAUUUGUGCACAAAAAUUAUUUUACUUGCUUUUACAAAAAAUGAAUGAAUUUUUACAAUUUUAUUUACAAAAGAAUUUCAAUUUGUUUUCAUUUAAGAAAAGUGAUUUAUACAAAUUAUUUAAAAAGACAAAACUUCAUUUGCAAAAGGAAUUUAAAUUUUUUUAAAAAAAAUUAAAUCCUCUAUUUCUAAAAAAUACUUUUAAUCCCAUUUUAAUUAAGGAAAAAGAAUUCAUUUAAAAAAAACAUUUUUUGGACAAUUUUAUUAAAAAUUAAUUUUUGAGACAACUUUAAUUACAAAACAAUUUUUGGACAAUUUUAUUAAAAAUAAUUUUUCGAAUUCUAUUAAAAAAAAUUCUUUUGAUUUUUUUAAAUGCAUUUUUCUAAAUAUUUAUAAAAAAAACUUUCUUUUAUUAAAAAGAAUAUUUUAAAAUUAUUAUUUUAUGAAAACAUAUUUACUGAAUUCUUCCUCUCAUUUAAGCAAAAUUUCUAGUUUGUUCGAUGUUCAAUUCUGUAUACACUCAAUAUAUAUAUAUAAACGAAUAUUUACAAGAACUAAUAAAAAUAAAACCAAAUAAAAGUGGGAAAUAAAAUAUGUACCAAAAUAAACUUACAACAACCUUAAUGUCUUCCUACAACUUUUUUAUUCUCACUUCCAUGAAAUUUCGUACUUCACAUGUCAUAAAUUUGUACUCAGCCAACAAAAUUGUAGAAUAAGUCCAUGAAAAAACAAAAAAUAGCCCAAAGUGUAAAUAUCCAAAAAUAUGUAGAGUCCAAAAUAAUUAUUCAAGCCCAAAUUCAAACUUCAAAUUAGUCCAAUAAAUUUCAUCAAUUAAAAAUGGACCCAAAUUAACAAAUAUAACCCAACAAAAGUAUCCUAUAUAUCAUAAACCCUAAUCUAAAGUUUUCAAAUUAAUAGUCAAAAUAUAAGUUCAAUUAAUCAAACCCAAAACAUGAUAAAUUAAGAUAAAUCUCAUUAGGCCUAAAUUUAAUAUUCCAUAAUCCAACCUAAUUUAAUAUACACCACAAUUGUCCCAUGUCCAAAUUAAAUAGUUCAAAUUGGCCAAGCCCAUAUCAAAUAUUAAAGUCAUCUAACAAAUUUCAUUAACAAUAAAUGAACCCAAAUUUAAUAUUAAUUCACCAAAGUUUAAAAUAUGACAAAUCAAAAUAAAUUUAAUUGGGCCUAAAUUUAAUAUUUCAUACUUCAAGUCUAAUUUUAUACACAAACAUAAAUCCACAACUAAAACCAAACCAAAUUUAAUAUAUAGAGCCUCCCACAUGUAAUGAAAAAAAAACCAAUAAAUUUAAUUAAGCCCAAUUAGAGAUCCAAUAUGCAUACCCAAAUCUCAAAGCCCAAACAUAAAGCCCACAAAUAAACACACAAGCCCAAUUUUAACAACAAUCAUUAUUAAAAUCAAAACAAGAAAAAAUAAAAAUAAAAAAACAAAUAAUAAUAAUAAUAAUAAUAAUGGAAAAUGGGUGUGAUGGGAAAGUAGGGAAUAAGUGAAAAUGGGAGGGGUCGUCAGCCGGCAGGAGUAGAAGAAAAAAGAAGAAAAAAAAUGGGGCGACAGGCACUACUGUGUGUGAGAGUUAGGAGAGGAAAAAUGGAGAAAAAAAUGGGCGUCGACGUUUAUGGGAGUUCGGAGGUGUGGUGUUGGGAGAAUAGAAAAUGAGGAAGGAAAAAAAUAAAGAAAAAAAAUGUAGAGAGAAUAUGGGGGAGUCGGCCACUGCCUUGGGAAUGGGAGUUGGGGAAAAACCGGAAAAAAGAAAAAAUGGGGAAGAAGAUGUAGGAGUGGGGGGCGCCGGCCGUUCUUGGGAAUAUGAAUGGGGAGUGGGGAGUGAGAGUUGUAGAAAGAGAGUGAAUGAAGGGGGAAGGAAAAAAAUUGCGAAAAUGGAAGGAAAUAGGGGUCAACAGUCCACCUUGGGAAUGAGGGGGAAAAAUCUCAAAAAAGAAAGAGGAAAAAAAUCCAAAGAAGCUAGUAGAGGGAAGAAUAUUGGGGGAAAAUGGGGGUCGGCCCACCUUGGGAAUUGGGAGAAAAGAAAUAAAUAAAUAAAAACUGAUGGAGCACAAAUGGGGAGCUUUUGGACGUGGGAGGUAUGGGGGGUAGGUGGAGGAAGAUAAAGGAGAGAGGAGAGAGAAAAUAAAAAUUAAAUAAAUGAAUAAAUAAAAAAAAUAAAAAAAAAUAAUAUAAUAUAAUAAUAAUAAUAAUAACAAAUUAAAAUUAAAAUUAAAAUAAAACAAUUUACAAAAUAAUAAAAAUUAAGAAUUAAAAGGUGAGUGGGUCAAAAAACACAUGUAAUCGGGAUUUAAAAUUUAUUGAUAAAAUUGGGCUCAAAAUUAAUGUAAAACUAAAUUUUGAACAAAUUUUGGGGUCUACAAUAAGAUUGAAUCUUUGUUUAAAUUAAAAUUCAGUUAUUAAAAAAAAUAAUAAUAAUAAUUUCGAUUUAAAAAAAUCCUAAUUUAUUAUUUUUUUAAAAGUAAAUUAUCAAAAAGAUUGAAUCUUUAUUUAAAUUAUAAUAAUAAUAAUUUAUUAAAAUAUUUCUCUAAUAAAUAGAUUAUUGUUGGUUUUCCAAUUUUGUUUAAAAAAAUGAUUUUGAUUUAUUUUUAAGGAAACGAUUUUUAUUUAUUAACAUGAAAAAAAGAGUUCACAUUAUUAAAAUAUUCUUUUAAAUAAUAAAUAAAAUAAAGUUAUCUACUAGUGAUACACACUUUUGCUUUUAUCUUCAAACUUAUUUUAUCCACCAUUAGAAACAAUAACAAAAACGAAUACAAAGUAUACAUUGUUUAUUUAUCAUGCAAUUUUUUUUUUAUAGAAAAUAACAUAAAGAAAACUGAUAAUGUAUUAUGUUACAAAGAUGACAAACUUAAUUAAAUGGAAUAACGCAAAAUGAGGACAUUGAUAAACAAAUAUAUCCUUUACAGCGCAAACCCAAUGGCUAGUAGAUCUCAAUAGUUUCCGAACAAAGCUCAAAAAUGCCAAAAACAUCUCAACCCUCUUACAAAUGAAAUCAAAUCAAAUUCAAUAAUCACAAAACCACAAACCAAUAUGAAAAGCCCAAUAAACAAAACCUAAUAACAUAAACAAACACUGUAGAAAUCAAGAGAGAAAUUACCUUGAUUUUUUUUUUUUAAGAAUUCUAAUGUGGAAAAUGAAGUGGUAGUAAACCGUGAAGUAGUGGAGAAGUGGCCAAGGAUAGUGAUGGGAUGGAGAUGAUGUUGAAGACAUGCAGUGUAAAGAGUGCCUAUACUGGUGAUACGUGAAGUUGUGGGUAUGGGGAGAGGAUGGCAACUAUGGGAAAGAAAAGAAAUGGGGGAAAUAAAUAGAAAGAGAAAAGUGGAAUAAGAAAGAUGAUUGUUAUGGAAGUGGUUGGUGGGGGAAGAGAAAGAAAGAAGUGUGAGAAAAUAAAAAAUAAAAAAAUAGAGAAGAAUAUGAGAAGUGAGGGAAGUGGGUAUAGACAUCAAAAUUUUUAGUAAAUUAAAUUAUCACUAAAUUGGUCUUCAAAAUUAUGGCUUCCCAAUUCAACAAAAUUUGAGCUUGACAAGUGGGUAAUAAACAAAUUUGAAAUGUGGCAUAUGUUCAGAAGGUGUCAUGUGGUAAAAUCUGGAAUGUUACAAAAUAUGGUAUUACACAUAAAAUCAAAUCGUCUAAUUGAAGUCAAAAGAGAAUUGAAAAUAAAUAUUCUCUUGUUAGCAAAUUUUUUUAACAAAUAAGACAAGUUGCUAAAAUGAAAUAACCAAAUUCUUUGAAUUAAAUACCUAAAUCUUGGGAAAUUCUAAAAUUUAAUUCUCUAAUUUCAUUUAUAAAUAGAGAUGACUUCCUUCAAUGAAGGGAUUUUUUCAAAUUAGAAAAAUGACUUUACAUGGGAAAAUAGACUUCACAAAGAAAAAAAGACUUCACAAAAUCUCCCUACAAAUUCGAGAAAUGACAUAAAUGUUACACACAUGAUCUUCACAUUUCAACAAGUCCAUUCGAGAACCAGCCACUUGUGGCCCUUAGUUAAUCUUUGAAAUCAAGAACAUGUUUUCAGCGUUGUCUUUUAAAUUAUGAUUAAGAUGAAAAAAUAAGAAGGAAUUAUUCUUUUGUAAAAGAAUAUUAUCGCAAAUAUUAUAUCCCCACAACUACUAAUUUUAAUAAAAAUUUUGGCUUCACAUAUUUUUCUAUAGUUUUGCUUACACUGCAAGACUUUGCAAAUUUUGUGUGUGCAAAUUUCUAGCAUCCUUAAUGGAACUUUUUUGCCUCUCAUCUCUUUCACUAAGAAAAUGAUCACUACUAAGACAAUGACAUCUAAAAAAAUUCAAGUUGCGCAUGUCAAUAAGGGUGAUAACAAGAUUGUCAUUACUCAACACAUAGUACCUCUAUAGGCCAAUGACUUGUAGCAAAACAAAAUCAACUAUUGCAUCUUCAACAAAACUAGCAACCGAGCAUACUUGUUUGUUAAAAUCAACGAAGACAUGCAAUAGUUACCAAUUGCUCAUCACUUUAGCUUUUUGAGGAGCAAAGGGCCAACGUCCUCAUGGUUAGGGAAAACAUCUUUCAACACUAAAGGACUUUAUAGAUAAGUCCCCCUACUAUAUUGCCAAUGCCAACUCCAGCACCGACUCACACUUUGGAUCACCAACUAGGGUGUCGAAAAAGGAUAGCUCAUCCAUUCAUUCCAACUCUUUUACUUCUUCCUUCGUGAUAACAAUGCCGAUAAUGACAACAACCACUAUGUCCAUAAAAGAAAAAUUAGUUGAGAUGGCUCAUGCCAUCGCCAAACUCAUUAAGUUCAUUGAGAAGAAAGAUUUGCAAAUAACAUCCUUCAUGAGCAAGGUUGAGACAUAAGCACAAAAUACAAUUGAAUCAAGCUAAAGACUUACUAACUCUCUAAAGAUUGCAUCUCUAGGUGAUGCACCACAUGUGUCUCAUUCGGUGCAAAUCAAGAGGCAAACCGUUGAAUCUACCUUGGUAGUGUCGCUAUUUGUUCAACAACUUCAGAACAUGAUAAUAACACCAUCAAAGUGCAAUAUGGUAGACCCUCACAAAGUACACUCAUGUACUCUAAGUCUUACACCAAGAGGAUUAAUAACCUAUGUAUGCCUAUGGGUUAUCAACCUCUAAAGUUUUAGUCAUUCAAUGAAAAUGGAAAUUUGAAGCAACACGUUACUCGUUUCGUCAAAACUUGCAACAAUGCAAGUACAAAGAGUGACCUAUUGGUCAAACAAUUUGUUCAAUCCCUUCAAGGGAAUGCCUUUAAUUGGUAUAUCGACUUUGCACUCAAGUACAUUGAUAGUUGGGACUAAAUUGAGCAUGAAUUCCUCAAUCACUUUUAUAACAUCUGACGACUUGUAAGCAUGAUGGAGAUUACUAAUACCAAACAAUGGAAAGACAAGUUGGUUGUUGACUACAUCAAUUAUUGACAUCCUUUACGCCUUGAUUGAAAUGAUAAAUCAUCCGACGUGUCGAUUGUGGAGAUGUGCAUACAAAGCAUACAUUGGGGUAUUAUGUACGUUCCUCAAGAGAUACAAUCUUGUACCUUAAAAGAGUUGGCUACAUGAGCACAUAAUAUAGAGUUUGUUAUAAAAGCAAAUUCAAGUUAAAACAUGUCGAUUGAAGAACUCAAAGAUGAUAUUAUUGAGGGUAAAAACAUCAUUAAUGAGGAUGAAGAGAGUGUGACAUCAAAUUUCACUAUAGUUGUUUUCAAACCUCGACACUCAAUUGAUGUUCCUAAAAGCAUGAGCCUAAAUUGCAUAUUGAUCAUGACUCGUAUAAGCUCAAAUUACAUGUAAUAAAAAAAAAAGUUGAACUACGUUUGACUUGAUCUUUUCUCCAUGAAGGGUACAUAGACAUCUUGGGGAAACUACUUAAGUUCAAUCACCAUCAUAUAAAAUAAUAAAUAAAAAAUAAGUAUAUCAAGCGCAAACCGAAUUUUAAUUAAGUGUGAACAAUUGUACACCACAUAGCAUCAAGGUUAUGACUUGUCUACAUAGGUGUUAAGUGUAGUUCUAAUUUUAAUUAAAUGUUAAAGUUUAAACAACAUUAUGCACCAAAGUUAAGUCAAUUCGCAUGAGUGAGGACUGUAACAGUUAACCGCAUUAAGUAUUGAAAAUAUAACACCACGCAACAUUAAUAUUAUGACUUGCCUAUCUUACGUUUAAGUGUAAUUCCAAUUUUAAUUAAGUUUUGAAAAGUUGGAUAUCACCAUGUAUCCAAGUCAAACCAAUUCACAUGAGUGAAGACCUUAGCACUUAAACUGCACUAAGUGUCAAACAUACAACAUCAAGGUUAUAACUUGUCUACAUAAGUGUUAAAUGUAGUUCCAAUUUUAAUUAGGUUUUAAGAAGUUAGACAUCACUAUGCAUUUAAAUCAAACUAAUUUUCAUAUGUAAAAACCUUAACACUUAAGUCACAUUAAGUGUCAAAAGUACAACACUGCAUAGCAUCAAAGCCAUAACUUGUUUGCAUAAGUGUUAAAUAUAAUUCUAAUUUUAAUUAAAUGUUAAAACUUCAAUAUCGCUAUGCAUUCAAAUCAAGUCAAUUCGCAUGAGUAAGAACAUUAGCAUUUAAGCCACAUUAAAUAUUGAAAGUACAACACCACGCAAGGUCAAAGUCGUAACUUUUUUGCAUAAAUAUUAAAUAUAAUUUUGAUUUUAAUUAAAUGUUAAAUUUUGGACACCACUAUACAUUCAAGUCAAACCAGUUCGCAUGGGUGAAGACUUUAGCACAUAAAUACCGAAAAUACGACACCGCUUUGCAUUAGGACUACAACUUGAUUACAUGAAAAUCAAACUUUAAUAUUCAUAUUUUUUUUAUAGAUAUUUAAGUUUAUUAAAAAUUAUUUCUCAAGUGUUAAAAGUGAUUUAAAAUAUAUAUAUAUAUAUAUAUAUAUAUAUAUAUAUAUAUUUGAAAGAAAAUUUACCUCUACAAAUGAUGAAGAUCAACACAUGUUCAAGAUGGUAAGGGUCUAUUGUAUGACUCCACUAUAAUAUAUAUUUAUAUAUAUUAAGGGGUUGUUCUUGUCAUCAUCUUCAUAUUGAGUCAUCCAUACAAAGUUGUCUUUAUUGUGUGUCAUCCUUGCGACAUGGUGUAGCUCCACUAGUGCUACUCCAUGCAUACCCCUACAUCCCCAUGCUCCAAAUAUGAAAGACUUAUCCAAGAGACUUCAAAUUGGAUAUCUUAAAUUAUUGUUCUCUUUAUAUAUAAAAAAAAAAUAAUGAGGAUAAAUUGGAAGGGAAUGAAAAAAAGAAGGUAAAUGUUCAAAUUAGAAACUUUCUUAUUAACACAAGAUCUUCCUUUGAUACAAAGUGGAAAGAAAGAAAGGAAACAAAAUAGUGUUUGGGAAAAGUGGGAAAAAUAUAUUAUUGAAAUAUGAAACCUCCUGCUAAAAUAUUUUUUUGGAAAAGAAAAAUGAAGGUUAAACUUCAAGACCCACCUCAUUUGACAUGGUAGGGCAUGUAUGUGAUACAUCUUGAAAAAUGAACACUUGCAAAUGUCAAAAAUUUUAGUGAAUUAAAUUAUCAUUAAAUUGGUCUUCGAAAUUGCGGCUUUCCAAUUCAACAAAAUUUGGACUUGACAAGUGAUAGGUCACACGCACAUUUGACACAUUACAUAUAUUCAGAAGGCGACAUGUGAAAAAAUUUGGUCUUACAAAUAAAAUCAAAUCACCCGAUUAAAGUCAAAAGAGAAUUAAAAAUAAAUAUUUUCUUGCAAAUUUCUUUAAUGAAAAAGAAAAGUUGUUAAAAUCAAAAAACUAAAUUCUUUGAAUUAAAUAUUUAAAUCUUAGGGAAUUCCAAAAUUCGAUUCCCUAAUUUCACUUAUAAAUGUGGGUGACUUUCUUUAAUGAGGGUGUGGGCCCCCAUUUUCCAUGUGUGCCUCCACCCAAUGGUGAGACUCAUUUUUUUAGGUGAAAAUUUGUAUUUUAUAAAUUAAAAAAAAAUCUAAAGUAACCACUUAUUUUUAUUUUUAUUUUUUUAAGGGAAAAUAAAAUAAAAUAACUAAAACCUAAAUAAAAAUGACUCCUUAAACUUUUGGAAAAGUGUAUCUUCGAAAAACCCGAGUCUAGGUCUGAGAUUAUCGAUCAAAAAGGUACCUUAAAAAUGUAGCACCCUUCUAAGCUCUAAAAGGGUCUCUACUAAUUAGGUUAAGGAAAAUGUGACAAUUAAUUAAUUGACUUAGGGUACCAAAAAAGUUUAAGGUAUUUACUUAAAUUCUAACAUAUUAAGCAUGUCAAGCAAUCAUUUCAAGUCAUAAGUAUAAAAGAGGGAUAGGGUGCAUACCCUGACUGCAACUCAAGCAAAAUCAUAAGACAUCAAAGUUAGUUUAGAUAUCAUAUCACUCAAAACACAUUAUCAUUUAGGUCAAUGAAUUAAAUAAAACAUAGAGAUGUUCACAUAUGAAACAUACACAUCUGUUGAAUUAAGAGAUAAAGUGUGAGGGGCAUAAUUGAAUUACAUAAAUAAUUUACGAUACGUUUCUAUAAGAUAACGGAGGUUAGAAUAAAUUAUAAUAGCAAAUAAUUAACAAGAUCCGAAAUCCUUGCAGGCAUGGUAUCUAUAUGGCAUAAAGAAAGAAUGUAAACUCACCAAGACAUCAAUAUUCCUAUAAGGCAUGCAUACAACUUCUAGAUAUAUAUAUAUAUAUAUAUAUAUAUAUAUAUAUAAAAGGAUUAUAACAAAACAUAUAACCAACAAAUCAAAAUAUGGGCAUCACAAGUAUAGUUCUAAAUUUUUACCUAAGCAUCACUUGACCAUACAAUAAACAAAAGCCAACAUCCAUAUCCAUUCAUCAUGAGUUAAAUACUAAGAGCAACUAGUGUGCAAAAAUUCAACAUACGACUAGAAUAUAUAGAUUGUCUUCAAAAAUAAAUGCCAAAAUAAAAAAAUUAAGAAGAUGAAUUUUACCACACCAAAGCAUAAAGGGCUUCUCCUAGACAUCUAAAACAAAAACUAAAGUCCUAACACUCAUUCAAAUAUCAGAUUUAAUACAAAAAAAAAAAACCAAAAUUUCUAGAAGGUCCAGAAUUGGGUAGAAAACAAUGACAUGCAUAAACUGAAUUUUUUUAAAAUAUCUAGAGGCCUUCUAAAUUCAUAUAUAAACACACACACACACACACACAUGUGAUGUUUAAGGUGUCUAGAUUAUAUGAAAUAAAUAAAUAAAUAAGUCAGGACUAGGAGCAUUCAAAGGAAUUUUUAAAAUACUCAAAUUGAUCAGCUAUCCAAAAUCAAUUACAUACAGUAGGUGUAACUUUGAAAAAUCAUAUCUUCCUUUAGAAAACAUAUAUUUCAAUAUUUUAUGUGUCAAAAUUCAAUUUUAGAAGUCAAGAAUUUGGAAAAAUAUUAAUUUAAAUUAAAAAAGGUCAAAAAGUAAUUGAAUUUUGCAAAAUGCUCUCAGAUGUAUAGUAUUAUACCAAAAUAGAACAUUUUGAAAGAAGAGAUCAUAACUCAACUUUGAGAAAAGCUUUUUUACUCCAACAAUCUUCUAAAAUCAACAACAAAAUGUGAAUAAGAUCAUACAAUUUUUGGGAAAAAAUUUUAAAGCACUCCAAGAUAUUCAAAAAAAAUUCUAAAGGCUUAGUGAUUGAAACUAGCAGCAAAAAUGAGUUUUGAAAAAAUUCUUUCAUGUAGGUGUUCCAUCAAAUCACCAUUCAAUAUUUAUAAGUUUAACUUGUACAUUCUCAACCUCGAAUGAAAAGAUUCACCCAAGCCAAGAAUACUCUUGUUAGCUUGGGAGCAUAGGUUUAAACCUAUGUGAAUAAAAAAACCAAGUUUUGGAAAACCAAAAAAAGAGAGAAUGCAACUUGGAUGAAAUGAGUUGCAUGUUUUUUUUAAAAUAAAGUGAGAUCUUUGCCCUAAACCUAGAAUGGAUUUCUUUCAAAGUUUUUAGAUGGUUUAAACUCUUUUGAAAACAAUUUUUAGAGGAAGCAAAAAGAACUAAGUGAAUUAAUAUAUCGCAAUCAAUAUACACAAAAAGGAUUUUUAAGUUUCUAACUUGAAGUGAUUAAAGAAAACAAAAGAAAUGCUUACUUGGAUCCACUUUUUGGCUACCCUUCAUUAGCCAUCAAGGAGCCUCAUCCAUAAUGGUGUAAAUUUGUUAUUAUUAUUAUUUUUUUUUUGUAAAAUAAAUUUUGACACAACUCAAAAUGCUAAUUUUAAAAAGCUUUUUCUAAAAAAGUGAGCUCUCAAAGAUAAAUAAUUAAACAUAUAUUAUCCAAUUUUAGCAAGAAUACUAGAUUUUAAGAAUAAUUGACAUGCUUUCAAAUAUAAAUAAGUAAAAACGAAUUUUAACAAGGAAAUCAAAUAUUAAUGGCAAAAAUCUAGUAGCAUAUCAUAUCAAAGACUUUACUAACAAUAGAUCUAAAUCUUAAAAAAAAAAAAAAUUCAUUGAACAAUGGUAAAAACAUUCAAUAGCAUGUCAAAUAUCAUGGAUUUCACUAAUAAUAAAUCUAAAUCUUAAAAAAUAUAAAAUAAAAUAAAUCAUACUUUCAAAUAACAAUGACAAAAACACUCGAUAACGUAUCAAAUAUCAUGGAUUUAACUAAUAAUAAAUCUAAAUAUAAAUUUAAAUCUAAAUCUAAAAAAAAAAAAAAUUAUGCUUUCAAAGAACAAUGGUAAAAACACUCAAUAACAUAUUAAAUAUCAUGAACUUAACUAAUAAUAAAUCUAAAUCUAAAAAACAUGCUUUCAAACGACGAUGACAAAAACACUCAAUAGCAUGCCAACUAUCAUGGACUUAACUAAUAAUAAAUCUAUAUCUAAAAAAUCAUACCUUCAAAGAAUAAUAACAAAAAAACUCAAUAGCAUAUCAAAUAUUAUGAAUUUAACUAAUAAUAAAUCUAAAUCUUAAAAAAAAAAAAAAAUCAUGCUUGCUCUCAUAUAAAUGUUCCUCAUCAUCUAACUUAAUCCCAAUAACUUAGAGAAACAAAACAAGUAAGAUCACGUAAGAAUGUAGUUGGCAGGAGAAGGAGAGAUGGAUAGAAAGGGUAAUUUUGGGACUUUGAUGCUUUACUCUAUUAGAGUACAUGUUUAGAUGAUUAUUUUUUCCAAAAUGCAUGUAUGAAACUUCUUAAAAAUGUUAUUUAAAAAAAAAAAUUGUGUAUGAAAGCAUGAUUUUUCCUUUUUAAAAAAUGGACAAUUAUGUUUUAAAGGUAGAUGAACCUAAUAAUAGCUCUAAAAGCUGCGUAUUUUGCAUAAUUGCUAAUAAGGAUAAUGGUUCUGAAAGCUACAUAUUUUGCAUAAUUUCUAAUAAGGACACGAGAUAUGAUGGACAAAAGUACUCUUAUCAAAUGUCAUGUGAUCUACUGCCUAAACAACUCAUACUUUCUUCUUUGCAUCCCUCCACCUCUUUCAAUGGAAGACUAUCUUUUAUUUCAAUCCUUUGAAGAUCCAAGUCUAUAUUAUCUCCACCUUGUAAGCUCGACCACAACCGUCAGGAAUCAUCUUAGCCCUUCAAUAGGUUAUCUCGUUUGUAAUUUGUUUUCAAAUUUAACAACCCACUCAACCUAUCAAGUUGUCUCCAAUCUUCAAUAGAUUAUCUCGUUGUAAUUUGUUUUCAAAUUUUAAAAAAUUUAAUAUUAUUAAAAUAGAUUAUUAUUUUUAAGAUAAAAUUAAAAAUAAAAUAAAAUAAUGAUAAAGUUAAUUUUUUGAAUCUUUCCUUUGAUUUCUAAAUAUUUUAAAAAUAAAUAGAAAAAUUAAAAUAUUCAAUUUGAAAACUAAAAAUAAUAUUAACUUUUAUAGGCUUACAUUAAAAACGUAAUGAUUUUAAAAAUUAUUUUAAAAACUGAGGUUUCAAAUUCAUUUUUACUAUCUCACAUUUUAAAAUUUAAAACAACGACUUGAGAACAGAAAUUGCGUGGAGACGGUCAUGGCUAAGCCUAAAGAGACGUGGUGGGCUUAUCCGGAAGGACAAGGCAGCAUGAUUGUUCCCUGAUGGGUCCUAAUUAGCGUGCCCUGGUUGGAUGGUGACGCCCCCAUUUUUAGUCAAUCAUCGAAAUCCUACUAACCCCGUCUUUGUCGUGUUCUGAUUGUAUUUAAUAUUUAGUGCCUUCCGCUUUCUAAAUAAGUCCAUCACGUGUCCCUGUCCAGUGUCCACAUAUUUCAAGUGCUCCUUCCAUAUGAUUUUUUUAAAAUAAUUUUAAAAAAUAUAAUGGGCACGAAAGUUUGACUGAAAAAGCUUUCAAAACAAAAUAUUCAUUAUUUAAUAAUGAAGUUAAAUUAUUUUUAAUUUUUUAACUUAAAAUUUAUUAUUUAAUUUUUAUUUUAAGUAUUAAAAUUAUUUAAUAAAAUUGAUUUAAAUUUAUUUUAAAUCAUCAAUCCAAUAUAUUUUCUCUCAUUAAUUUUAAUAUUUAUAUUUUAAGUAUGGUAGAUAUAUAUCAUAAUAAUUUUUAUUUUAAAAAAUAAUUAGUUUCUAUUACCUUACUGCAUUUGGACUACGAAAUCUUAUUUUUUUACAAGAUUUUUCCAUUGGUUUGAAAGCUGUCUUUUUCUUAUCAUCUCACUUGGAAAUCUCCAUUUUCAACAAGAUAUUUUUCCUCACCUUUACAUCCUAUUUUCUCCCUCUAUGCUCCACUUAUUAAACAUUUUUGUUAUUUUAAAAAAUAUAAUAUUCAUAUUUAGUAUUAUUGUUGUAAUUGGAAUAUUUAAUACUUUAAAAUAGAAAUUCAAGUUUAUAAAAUAUAAAUUUUAAGUAAUUAUCUAAAAAUAAUUAACAUUUCAUACACUUUUUUUUAUCAAAAGUAUUACUCACUUUUAAUAAUAUAAGUGUUACUUUUAAUCAUCCUAACUUUACAUUUUACUCAUGAGUAUAUAAAACUUAAAUUAUUUUUAAAGAGUUUUUAUUUUAUAAUUAUUUUUUCAUGAGCAUGUGAAUGUGAUUAGUUGGUAUUCAAAAUAGACAAUUCUAGUAUGUAACUCGAGAAAGAGAUGGUUGAAUAAAAACAAUUCCAUUUUGAAUUCUAUUCCUAUCAAAGGGCGAUAUGAAUAUUCUAUUAACAUGUUAAAAGGGUCAUAUGAUAUAUUUAGUGUGAAAGAUGACCAACAUUUGAUAAAUAAGAGGUUUCCAAGUUCAUACCCAAGUACUUAUUACUUCGUGGGUUGUAAUUGCUAUUUUAUUAGGUGCAGGUAUUGUAGUUGUUCAGAAUCUAUAAAUCAUUCUUACUAAGAAAAUGAAAGCGUUCUAGUUUUUUUUACACAUAGAAUUUUUUAUUUUCAAAAUAUUAUACAUAUUUUUUAAAAUCGAAACGCUUUUAAAUGAUUUAUAAAUAUAAUAAUUUUAGUUUAAAAAGUAAAUAAGAAUGUUAUCUUUCCAAAGAGUAAUUUCAAAUUUCAAUUUGAAUUCCUUAACAUGGUCGUAGGUUUAGAAAUAGUUUAAAAGAGGAUAUAUUUUAAUAAAUAAUUUCAAAAUUAUUGAAACCAUACUGCAGCGACACAACAGAUUUAUGCUUUCUACGAGGAAGGAAAGGAGCAUUUUACCCGAAAAGAAGAGGUGGGAGGGAAGAAAACGCGUGUGAUAUUAUUAGGAAAUGACCACACCGUGAUACCCUGGAAAAGACCUUGAAAGGGGACCGAAUGCCCCAUAUUUUAGAAGUUUCUUGGCAUUGUGCCAUUCUCGCUUCCAAGCUCACAAAUAUCUUAUCGGUCUAUCUCUAUCGCCCUUAUAUAUUACCACCCUUUCUCUCUGCUCUCAAUUCUCUUCUUCUCCUCAUCGCUCCCUCUGUAUCGGAUCGGGGUUCCAUAGACUCUUAAGGUAAUUGAGACAUUUUCUCUUAAUUGCUGUGAUCUUCCUAGAUUUUAUGAACAAAUGCUUUUACUGUUUGGUUGCUGAGAAAUUGUAUCGGAAAAUAAUGAAACCUUGCCUGUUUCCGAGAUUAAUUCUCCGUUUUUUUUUUUUUUUUUCUCUCUAAGAAAAUUAUUUUUCCUCCCUUUCUUAGCAACCAACGUUGCUUUACUUUUAACGCUUGGUACCUUAUAUUUUGAGAAAUCGGUUGUAUUAAUAUGACGCGAUCUAUUAGCGACAGUGAAAGGGGAGGAUUGUGUUGGAGUAUAGGAUCAGGAGCUGUGGAUCAAUUUAAAAGUGACAAUCUGAUUAUUGGAUUUAAUUCCGUGUAUUGUUGCAUGAAUUUCUUGAGUUCGGUUCCAAUUCUGCGCCAUUUCUUUUCCAUUUUAUGACAUAAUUUUUCUUUUAAUUAUAGAAGCUUCGGAAAAAGUAAUUUAUGAGUAUGUUUAAUUGAAUUUUUAUCCUUUUUUUUUUCACUUUUCUUUUAUUUAUAUCGUGCUUUUCGUGAUUAUCUUGACAUUGAAUUGAAUUGUAUGAUAUAUUUCUAUAUGUUUUUUCUGAGUGUUUUUUUGUUUUAGUUACUACUUGCAUAAACUACUAAAAAAUUUUAGUUUAUUAAUUGUAUGAGAGAGUUUUAAGAGCAUACGGUAUUUGACCAAUUCAUCACUGAAAAUGAUUUCUCAUUUUAUUUGGUUUGUUGACCUAUUUAUCUUAUGUUAUUUUCUUGUUGCAAUUACCCUUCUAUGGAUCAGAACCAGAGGACAGCUCUUUUUGUGUUGUCUUAUUUUCUUCCUUUAGGCAUAUUCAUUUUCUUUUUGAACCUUAUUGCAGCAAAGUUUGAACAAUUAAGUGUUUGUUGCUGUCGAGUUGUUACUUAAAAACAACUUAAUGCAAUUUUAUAUGAGUUCCACAUGCCAGGCUAAUGUGUAUAUAUACGAUAAAGGAAGAGACAAAGUCGGAGCUGUUCCUUUUGGGAAUGUGAUGUUGACCUCUGGUCCUGUCAACAUUGUGCUAAUGUACAUACUUUGUAUAUUCAUGAAUAAUGAUCAUUUGUUCCACCUGGUAUCAAGUCCUUAGUUGUAUUUGUGUCAUUAAGAAUUAGGAUCCUUAAUGGUGAUAGGUGUCUAGGGAAUAUCUACUUCCAGGUCUAGCAUGAACUAAUUUAGAUAUGGUGUUGUCAUGGUGUACCCUGUCUUUUUCUGCAGCCAUUACUGUACUAUAGCCAUUUUAAACCUUGUUAAAUCUUUGGUCAGUAUGACAGUAACAGCUACCCUUCUUUAUAUUUUUGUUUGAAAGAUUACAUUGGCAUCAUUAGUUGAUGUUUGAUUCCAUUAGAAUUGCAUGAAAUAAACUGCUAACCUUCUUUUUGUUCCUUUUCCUUGUUUGCUUAAUCAUUUCUGAUAUUGUGAAUGGACAUGCAAGUGUUAUGGGUUGUUUGUUGCAAAAUGAAAACUGAGAAGUUGUCUGGGAAAAGGAAUCACUGCUUGGUUGGGAGCCUGUACAAUAAUGGGCUCUCUAUGACAAUGAAAUAGUUUAAAAAAUCCAUCUUGUGUAUGAAUGAAUAUCUGUCUCCUGAAUCAAAUUCAGGUGCCAGCUUCUCAACAUCACCUACUGAGAAGUUAUUCCUUCUCAUGGAGCUUUUUGUUUAUUCUAAAAGAACUUAGAAAAGUUAAUUAUUCAGGAUAGCUCAUUUGAAAAUAUUUUGUGGUUUUUAAAUUAGGGUGUCUUGGAAAGGCAUAUAUAUCAAUUUUUCUGGACGUAAUUUUCUGCUCCCAGAUUAAAAUGGCAAUGAGCCAAAUCCUUUUGUCAGUUUUCGUACUUGGUCUUUUUUCCAAGUCCAAAACAGCCAAAAUCAUGUAGUUGAAGAAAAUCUAUCUUGUAUCUUGAAACAUUUGAGUUUUUGAAGAUUUGAUCUAUAUUUUUAUUUUUGUUUUAAUAGGAUGUUUAUAUUUUGCUUGGCUGUUUCUUUUCUAUCUGAGAUGAACUAGAAAGUGUUGUGCCAAGUCAUUGAUCUAGGGUUUGAUAUGGUUCCAAUGGAUAAAAUGGCUUUAGGCCAUUGUGAUGGUGUUCUUGAAUUGGGAUGAUAGUUUCUUUUUAGAAUUCUAGGAAUUUGCAAGCCAUAGAUAUGAAAAUGAACUCUAAGUAAUAUGAAAUGCUGAAAGUAAAGAGAUAAAUGAUAGAGAAAAUGAAAACAAUGAUUUUUAAUGUGGUUUGGCCCAACCCACCUACAUCCACAACCCCUUAACUCCUCCACAAGCAUUGAGGUUAUCCACUAAAUCCAAAGAGUCUUCUCAAGCAUGACUUUUCUUAUCCUCCUUUACAUUGGAUUUCUUAGGUUCUAUUGAACCUUUACAAGAUUGAAAAUAUUAUAAACAUACCUUCUACACAACCUCAAAAGAGUACAAUGAGUAAAAAGUUUGGAGUGUAUGAUAUACAUUAUGGGCUCAAAUCCUACAAGCCUAAGCUUUUAUGAAAAUUAGUUGUCUAACAUGGUAUCAAUGCCUUGUUUGACAAAAGUUCAAGUAUUGGAACCCCACUACAUGUUUAUUUACCCACCUUAUUAAGCCUAAAAGAGGUUGUUUAUGGUUUUAUUUAUCUACGUGUUUGUGUGUACUUAUGUGUCUAUCCACAUGCGGGUAUGGAGUUGCUCUAACAAAAGGUACAGGAAAAGUCUCUUGAAGAGUAGGUGGACAGAAGUGUUUUUAAUGAGAGCAAGCAAAUUCAAUCUAAGAGCUUUCUAGAAAUUUUUAAAGAGGAUAUUCAAUGGAGUACUAAUGAUAUGCAAGGGUUUAGUAAGUAAUAAAUGUGUCUUAGGCUUCAUAUAUAUACCUUUUGGGAUUAAACUAACUGUUAGACACAGGCUUCCCAGAAAGUGCCAAUCAUAAGGUCGACGAAAUGAACUGUAGAUAACCGUUGGACGGAAAACCUACUGAUGAGUUCUACCACGUACACAAUCACAGGCUUCCCAGACGGUGCCAAUCAUAAGGUCGACGAAAUGAACUGUAGAUAACCGUUGGACGGAAAACCUACUGAUGAGUUCUACCACAUACACAAUAGGUCAACCACAUGGUCGCCUACAUGGUAGGCAGCAGCAUUUUUCCAUGAUUUUCAAGUUUCAAUAGGUCAACUAGGUUCAACCACACGAGUUGUAGCAGUGUUUUUGCUACCUCUUUAGGCUUCAUUUUGAGAUUUUUUUUAAUACCCUAAAGCAAUAUUUAAAAUCUCGUCUGAGAGUAGUAUGACUUGAUUGAGUUGUAUCUACCUUGACCAUACCCACUACUUGACUGAGUUGAGUUGAUUAUUUUGUUGACUCACAAAACAACUUGUUUGAAUAAGAGAGAUGGAUGUGUAGUCUUAGAAUGAUUUGCAUGACAAUUUCAAGAUGACUUGUAGACGAUGCUGAGAGUAAGUGAUCCAACUGAUGAAGAAGGUGGUGAUGUCAAAGUGAAGGGUGAUGGAAAGGAGGGGAAGAAAAGCUGUGAAAUGAAGAAGAUUGCAAGGACAGAGAGAAAGAGAGGAGUAUGUUUGGGUCUCUGGGAUCCUUCAUUUGCAUCUUCAUCCAUGAUUGAUUUAAUUCACACUUUGGUAUUUGCAUCUUCAUUCAUGGCUGAUUCAUCUUCAGUUUAAACUUUAGAGAUGAAAUGGAGAGACAAAAUGGUAUUUGUGUAGGGAAUGAGAAUGGGUAUUUGGUCCUAAAUGGGUAAUGGUAGUAGGUAUGUGAUUGGAAUUUAGUUUAUGGAUGAUCAGUAUCUGUUUUUAAAUGGGCAAUGGGUAUUUGAUGAAAAUUUGCAUUCAUAUAAAAUGAGUAGGAGGUAUAUGGGCUUAUAUGAAAUAAAUGAGAUAUAAAUAUUGAUAUAAAAAUUGGAAAUGGAUAUAGGCAUUAAAAAACAUAUUCAUUUUUUAAAUAUGCUAAUUCAAUUAAAAAUAAAACUAAUAAAAAAUUUUAUUUGCAACUUUAAA